UACCACCUCAUGAAGAGUGAUAAUGAUAUUUAAAAUCGAAUUUCUCCUUUAAUUUUCCUUAUGCACACAACAAUUACUUACAGUAUCGACAAUAUCUUUUCCUCAACUCCUUUGUCUAGAGAAGUGAAGUUGAGGGAUAUUUCAGAGGAGAUGGAGAGCAAAGAUUAUGUUCCUCUCUUUGAAACAAAGCCAGCCAAGGGACGUAUUUUGUUCCGAUUAUAUGCAGCUUCAGUCUUUGUGGCUAUCUGCAUGAUCUUUGUUUACAGAGCGAGUUACUUUCCCAGCAGCUUGGAAGGACCAGCAAUUGAAAGAUGGGCUUGGAGUGGAAUGUUUCUUGCUGAGUUAUGGUUCAGUUGGUAUUGGUUUGUCACUCUUGUUAAUAGAUGGAACCCCAUCUAUCGUUACCCUUUCAAAGACAGACUUUCUCUUAGGUACGAGAAAUAUUUGCCAGGAAUAGACGUAUUUGUGUGCACGGCAGAUCCCGUAAUAGAGCCUCCCACUAUGGUGAUCAACACAGUGCUAUCAGUCAUGGCUUAUGAUUAUCCACCGGAGAAGCUGAGUGUUUAUUUAUCGGAUGAUGGCGGUUCAGAUUUAACGUUUUAUGCCAUGUUAGAGGCGUCUCGUUUUGCAAAGGAAUGGAUACCAUUUUGCAAGAAAUUAAACGCAGAACCCAGGUCACCUGAGGCUUAUUUUCAGUCAGCAGUUGAACCAAUUGAUGAUCCAAUCAUGGCGAAACAGUGGCAGUCUAUAAAGAAAUUAUAUGAAGAUAUGAACGAACGGAUUGAAACUGCUACAAAGCUAGGCCGACUCUCAGAAGACACACGUAAAGAACACAAGGGAUUUCGUGAGUGGGACUUUGUUCUAAGCCGUCGCGAUCACCAAACCAUUCUACAAAUACUAAUUGAUGGGAGAGAUCCAAAGGCUGUUGAUAUAGAAGGACAACGCUUGCCUACGCUGGUGUACUUGGCACGAGAGAAGAGACCUCAAUUUCCCCACCACUUUAAAGCUGGAGCCAUGAACGCACUCAUAAGGGUGUCAUCGGGGAUAAGCAAUGGCUCGAUUAUUCUGAAUGUGGACUGCGACAUGUACUCAAAUAACUCUGCUGCUGUGAGAGAUGCCCUUUGCUUUUUUAUGGAUGAAAAGCAGAGCCAUAAUGUUGCUUAUGUACAGUUUCCACAGAACUUCAGUAACCCCAAAAAGAAUGACCUUUACGGUAGUUCCCUGAUGGUAAUAAUGGAGAGUUGCUGUUACCUUCCCUAUCAGUUGGAGCUUCCCGGAAUUGAUUCCAAUGGAGGGCCUUGCUACAUUGGUACUGGGUGCUUUCACAGGAGAGAGACUCUCUGUGGGAAGAAAUAUGGCCAGGAUUGUAAGACGACAGACUGGAUCAAAACGGUGAAUAAUAAUGAUAGAGAAGUUGAAGAAAGUGCAGUUGUACUAGAAGAAUCAUGUAAAGUACUUGCAAGUUGUAGCUAUGAGGAGAAUACUCUAUGGGGAAAGGAGAUGGGUUUGAUGUACGACAUUCCAGUGGAAGAUAUAAUGACUGGAUUAGCUAUACAAUGUAGAGGAUGGAGAUCCAUCUAUCAUACUCCUGAAAGGAAGGCUUUCUUAGGACUUGCUCCCACAACACUUGGUCAGUCACUCGUGCAACAUAAGAGAUGGGCUGAAGGUGAUUUUCAGAUCUUCCUUUCAAGCUACUGUCCUUUCUUGUAUGGACGUGGAAAGAUCCCACUCAAACUUCAGCUUGCAUACUGCCUCUACUUGAUGUGGGCUCCAUAUAGCUUGCCUACUCUCUACUAUGUUUUUGUGCCAUCCCUUCGUCUCCUUAGAGGCAUCUCCUUGUUUCCUAAGAUUUCGAGUCCAUGGGUUAUGGCAUUUGCAUACGCGAUGUUGGCCAACCGUGCAUACAGCUUAGGAGAAUUUAUAUGGGUUGGAGGCACAGUCAAAGGUUGGUGGAAUGAUAAAAGAAUGUGGAUGUUCAAAAGAACAACUUCAUACUUCUUCGGCUUCGCUGAAAACAUACUGAGGCUACUGGGUUUUACAAAGUCUUCCUUUGAGAUCACAGCAAAGGUGGCUGAAGAGGACAUAUCUGAGAGAUUUGAGCAAGAGACAAUGGAGUUUGGUGCCUCCUCACCAAUGUUCACCAUUUUAGCAACAAUUGCUUUGCUCAACCUGUUUAGUUUUCUUGGGGGACUAAAAAGGGAAAUGUUAGAUGGCCGCUGUAAAAUAUUAGAUCAAUUUGUCGUGCAGAUGCUUCUAAGUGGGGUUGUGGUAUUGAUUAACCUACCAUUAUACCAAGGACUCUUCUUCCGAAAUGACAAUGGAAGGAUGCCUAGUUCAGUAACAUUCCAGUCAACUCUCAUCGCUCUAUUGGUCUGCACAAUAGCUGCAUGUUAAGUACCAAAGUGCUACCUCCAGAUGCACAGCAAAGUUUGAGAACUGUUUGUUGCAUUUGCAAAGGCAAAUUAAUAAUUCAUUGUUGUCAUAUAUAAUCUCUUGAUUGCUAUCUACAGCAGAUGCUUAUUUUGUAAGAAUAAAUAUAACUAUAUUAAUAUUACUACUGUCUAUUAUUCUAGACUGAAAAAUGUUCAUAGUUUAUGCCAAAAUUGUGAUCCUAAUAUACGAGAAAGGCUUUAAUACAAGGCUACAAGCUUCCUAAAGUAGCAUUGGAAAACUGUCAAAAGCUGACACAUGGUUUCCCUUUCCAUGCUAUUUUGGAAAACAAUUAGACCAUCCAGUUCCCAUGAUCAAGCUACACGCCACUUCCAGACUUCCAUUACUUCUCUCUUCUCUCUCUUUUGAGGCAAAAGAGGAAGAACCCUAGACUGACACAGCCCACCUUUUUCUCCCACCCGUAAAGACCAUUCAUUUUUAAUCUUCAAGACUGUCCCUUCACCCUUGUCCCUUGACUUGCUCUCCAAAUCCAUUUCAAGAGUCGGUUUUUUAAGCUUCAUUUUUGAGCUUCAACAAUGGAGGAAGUAGUACAAGUUGGUGUUGGAGGGCUGCAAAUGGGUAGAACCUACAAUCCCAGGUGGUGAGGCUGUUGAAACAAUUGAGCCACAGAUAGAAUUGGCAGAAAAAAUUAUGCAGGGUGAACCUAAUAUUGUGGAAAUUGUAGCCGAGGAA